rnacentral:rRNA from 1 species
GCGGAAGGAUCAUUCAUAAUAAGUGUUUUAUGGCACUUUUUAAAUCCAUAUCCACCUUGUGUGCAAUGUCAGUCGAUCUUCUUCAUGGAGAUCGACCAAACAUCAACCUUUAUUUUUUAACUCUUUGUCUGAAAAAUAUUAUGAAUAAACAAUUCAAAAUACAACUUUCAACAACGGAUCUCUUGGCUCUCGCAUCGAUGAAGAACGCAGCGAAAUGCGAUACGUAAUGUGAAUUGCAGAAUUCAGUGAAUCAUCGAAUCUUUGAACGCAUAUUGCGCUCUUUGGUAUUCCGAAGAGCAUGCUUGUUUGAGUAUCAGUAAACACCUCAAAGCUUUUGGAUUUUUUAAUCGAAAAGCUUUGGACUUGAGCAAUCCCAACACCAAUCUUUUUGAGAUCGGUGGCGGGUUGCUUGAAAUGCAGGUGCAGCUGGACAUUCUCCUGAGCUAAAAGCAUAUUCAUUUAGUCCCGUCAAACGGAUUAUUACUUUUGCUGCAGCUAACAUAAAGGGAGUUUGACCGUAUUGGCUGACUGAUGCAGGAUUUCACAAGGGUCGGCAACGAUUCUUGUUAAACUCGAUCUCAAAUCAAGUAAGACUACCCGCUGAACUUAAGCAUAUCAUAAGCCGGAAGGAA